rnacentral:rRNA from 1 species
GAUGAACGCUGACAGAAUGCUUAACACAUGCAAGUCAAACUGUGGCGGACGGGGGAGUAACGCGUAAAUAACUUACCUCACCGUUAGGGACAACAUUAGGACACGAAUGCUAAUACCUAAUACUGUGAGAGAGCUUUGCGUCCCAUUAGCUAGUUGGAGAGGUAACGGCUCACCAAGGCGAGGAUGGGUAGCCGGCCUGAGAGGGUGAUCGGGCACAAGGGGACUGAGACACGGCCCUUGCUCCUAUGGGAGGCAGCGGUGGGGAAUAUUGGACACUGGACCAAAGUCUGAUGCAGGAAUUCUGGUUGUACGAUGAAUUUUUCGGAAGGUAAAGUGCUUUCAGUAGGGAAGCGGUACCAACAGAAGAAGUGCCGGCUAAAUACGUGCCAGCAGCCGCGGUAAUAC